rnacentral:snoRNA from 24 species
GCCGAUGAUGAGCUAAUCCGCCACUGAGCGGUGAUGAGGGCCACGGAUCUGAGG